rnacentral:rRNA from 1 species
UCAAGUGAAUAAGUGCAUCAGGUGGAUGCCUUGGCGAUGAUAGGCGACGAAGGACGUGUAAGCCUGCGAAAAGCGUGGGGGAGCUGGCAAUAAAGCUAUGAUCCCGCGAUGUCCGAAUGGGGAAACCCACUGCAUUCUGUGCAGUAUCCUAAGUUGAAUACAUAGACUUAGAGAAGCGAACCCGGAGAACUGAACCAUCUAAGUACCCGGAGGAAAAGAAAUCAACCGAGAUUCCGCAAGUAGUGGCGAGCGAACGCGGAGGAGCCUGUACGUAAUAACUGUCGAGAUAGAAGAACAAGCUGGGAAGCUUGACCAUAGUGGGUGAUAGUCCCGUAUUCGAAAUCUCAACGGUGGUACUAAGCGUACGAAAAGUAGGGCGGGACACGUGAAAUCCUGUCUGAAUAUGGGGGGACCAUCCUCCAAGGCUAAAUACUCAUCAUCGACCGAUAGUGAACCAGUACCGUGAGGGAAAGGCGAAAAGAACCCCGGGAGGGGAGUGAAAUAGAACCUGAAACCUGAUGCAUACAAACAGUGGGAGCACUCAUGUGGUGUGACUGCGUACCUUUUGUAUAAUGGGUCAACGACUUACAUUCAGUAGCGAGCUUAACCGAAUAGGGGAGGCGUAGGGAAACCGAGUCUUAAUAGGGCGAACAGUUGCUGGGUGUAGACCCGAAACCGAGUGAUCUAUCCAUGGCCAGGUUGAAGGUGCCGUAACAGGUACUGGAGGACCGAACCCACGCAUGUUGCAAAAUGCGGGGAUGAGCUGUGGAUAGGGGUGAAAGGCUAAACAAACUCGGAGAUAGCUGGUUCUCCCCGAAAACUAUUUAGGUAGUGCCUCGAGCAAGACACUGAUGGGGGUAAAGCACUGUUAUGGCUAGGGGGUUAUUGCAACUUACCAACCCAUGGCAAACUAAGAAUACCAUCAAGUGGUUCCUCGGGAGACAGACAGCGGGUGCUAACGUCCGUUGUCAAGAGGGAAACAACCCAGACCGCCAGCUAAGGUCCCAAAUGAUAGAUUAAGUGGUAAACGAAGUGGGAAGGCCCAGACAGCCAGGAUGUUGGCUUAGAAGCAGCCAUCAUUUAAAGAAAGCGUAAUAGCUCACUGGUCGAGUCGUCCUGCGCGGAAGAUGUAACGGGGCUCAAAUCUAUAACCGAAGCUGCGGAUGCUAGUUUACUAGCAUGGUAGGGGAGCGUUCUGUAGGCCGAUGAAGGUGCAUUGUAAAGUGUGCUGGAGGUAUCAGAAGUGCGAAUGUUGACAUGAGUAGCGAUAAAGCGGGUGAAAAGCCCGCUCGCCGAAAGCCCAAGGUUUCCUACGCAACGUUCAUCGGCGUAGGGUGAGUCGGCCCCUAAGGCGAGGCAGAAAUGCGUAGUCGAUGGGAAACAGGUUAAUAUUCCUGUACUUGAUUCAAAUGCGAUGUGGGGACGGAGAAGGUUAGGUUAGCAAGCUGUUGGAAUAGCUUGUUUAAGCCGGUAGGUGGAAGACUUAGGCAAAUCCGGGUCUUCUUAACACCGAGAAGUGACGACGAGUGUUUACGGACAUGAAGUAACUGAUACCACGCUUCCAGGAAAAGCCACUAAGCUUCAGUUUGAAUCGAACCGUACCGCAAACCGACACAGGUGGGCAGGAUGAGAAUUCUAAGGCGCUUGAGAGAACUCGGGAGAAGGAACUCGGCAAAUUGAUACCGUAACUUCGGGAGAAGGUAUGCCCUCUAAUGUAAAGGACUUGCUCCGGAAGCAUCUGAGGGUCGCAGAGAAUCGGUGGCUGCGACUGUUUAUUAAAAACACAGCACUCUGCAAACACGAAAGUGGACGUAUAGGGUGUGACGCCUGCCCGGUGCUGGAAGGUUAAUUGAAGAUGUGAGAGCAUCGGAUCGAAGCCCCAGUAAACGGCGGCCGUAACUAUAACGGUCCUAAGGUAGCGAAAUUCCUUGUCGGGUAAGUUCCGACCCGCACGAAUGGCGUAACGAUGGCCACACUGUCUCCUCCCGAGACUCAGCGAAGUUG